rnacentral:rRNA from 1 species
UCAGGAUGAACGCUAGCUACAGGCUUAACACAUGCAAGUCGAGGGGCAGCAUGUGGUUGCUUGCAACCAAUGAUGGCGACCGGCGCACGGGUGAGUAACGCGUAUCCAACUUCCCCUUAGUAGAGGAUAGCCCGGCGAAAGUCGGAUUAAUACUCUAUGUUCUUCAAUGCGGACAUCUAAGUUGAAGCAAAGAUUUAUCGCUAAGGGAUGGGGAUGCGUCUGAUUAGGUAGUCGGCGGGGUAACGGCCCACCGAGCCUGCGAUCAGUAGGGUUCUGAGAGGAAGGUCCCCCACAUUGGAACUGAGACACGGUCCAAACUCCUACGGGAGGCAGCAGUGAGGAAUAUUGGUCAAUGGGCGCGAGCCUGAACCGGCCAAGUAGCGUGCCAGGAUGACGGCCCUAUGGGUUGUAAACUGCUUUUAUGCGGGGAUAAAGUGCACCACGUGUGGUGUUUUGUAGGUACCGCAUGAAUAAGGACCGGCUAAUUCCGUGCCAGCCGCGGC